AUAAAUUAACUGAGCUUUAAAAUAAAGUAGUCAGAGGCCCAGGGUGGUGGCUUAUGCCUGUAAUCCCUUUGGAAGGCAGAGGCCAGAGGAUCUUGAGUGCAGGAGUUUGAGACCAGCCUGGGCAACAUAGGGAGACCUUGUCUCUACAAAAAAAGUCUAAAAAUUAGCAGGGCAUGGUGGAGUGUGCCUGUGGUCUCAGCUACUUGGGAGGCUGAGGUGGGAGGAUUGUUUGAGCCUGGGGGUUGAAGGCUGCAGUGAGUUUUUAUUGUGGCACUGUAUUCCAGCCUGGGCAACAGGGUGAGACCCCAUCUUAAAGAAAAAAAAUAUCAGAUUUUUGGUUUUUAACAACUCUUGCUAU
rnacentral:lncRNA from 1 species